rnacentral:rRNA from 1 species
UACGUAGGGGGCUAGCGUUGUCCGGAAUCAUUGGGCGUAAAGAGCGUGUAGGCGGCCCGGUAAGUCCGCUGUGAAAGUCAGGGGCUCAACCCUUGAAUGCCGGUGGAUACUGUCGGGCUAGAGUGCGGAAGAGGCGAGUGGAAUUCCUGGUGUAGCGGUGAAAUGCGCAGAUAUCAGGAGGAACACCGAUUGCGAAGGCAGCUCGCUGGGACGUUACUGACGCUGAGACGCGAAAGCGUGGGGAGCAAACAGG